rnacentral:rRNA from 1 species
UGGUCUUGACAUAGAAAGAACUUUCCAGAGAUGGAUUGGUGCCUUCGGGAACGCAGUGACAGGUGCUGCAUGGCUGUCGUCAGCUCGUGUCGUGAGAUGUUGGGUUAAGUCCCGCAACGAGCGCAACCCUUAUCAUUAGUUGCUAACAUUUAGUUGAGAACUCUAAUGAGACUGCCGGUGAUAAACCGGAGGAAGGCGGGGACGACGUCAAGUCAUCAUGGCCCUUAUGGGAUGGGCUACACACGUGCUACAAUGGGGGGUACAAAGAGCAGCCAACUGGCGACAGUGCGCGAAUCUCAUAAAACCUCUCGUAGUCCGGAUCGGAGUCUGCAACUCGACUCCGUGAAGUCGGAAUCGCUAGUAAUCGUGAAUCAGAAUGUCACGGUGAAUACGUUCCCGGGCCU